rnacentral:rRNA from 1 species
AGCGAACGCUGGCGGCAGGCCUAACACAUGCAAGUCGAACGGAUCCUUCGGGAUUAGUGGCGGACGGGUGAGUAACCCGUGGGAACGUGCCCUUUGGUUCGGCACAACUCAGGGAAACUUGAGCUAAUACCGGAUGUGCCCUUCGGGGGAAAGAUUUAUCGCCAUUGGAGCGGCCCGCGUCUGAUCAGCUAGUUGGUGGGGUAACGGCCCACCAAGGCGACGAUCAGUAGCUGGUCUGAGAGGAUGGUCAGCCACACUGGGACUGAGACGCGGCCCAGAAUCCUACGGGAGGCAGCAGUGGGGAAUCUUGCGCAAUGGGCGAAAGCCUGACGCAGCCAUGCCGCGUGAAUGAUGAAGGUCUUAGGAUUGUAAAAUUCUUUCAGCGGGGACGAUAAUGACGGUACCCGCAGAAGAAGCUCCGGCUAACUUCGUG